UUCAUCAUCACUUCUUCUCUUAUCACCACAAUACCCGUCUCUUUCUCUCUCUCUCUCUCUCUCCCUUGAACUCAGGCGGAUCUCGUGGGGGACGAAGAGAUAAGGGAAAGAAAAAAAAAACCCUAGAUUAUUUUGCAGAUCCAAUUGAAGGGGGCUUCUCUUUUGAGGGGAAUGUUGUCUGGCUCGAGGACUCUGCUCCUCUUCUCCUUAAUGAUAUCGGUUCUUCGAUUACCAUAAUUGAUCGUAGUCUCGAGAUCUAAUUAGGGUUGUGUAGCGUCGUCGGACCAGGCUUCAUUCCCCCCAAUUAUUGCUCCUUGAGAACGCGCUAUACCUUAUCGUUCUAGGGUUUCGAUUCGGGAAACCAUGUAAAGGCUCGAUCUUUAUCACUUUUCGUGAAUCAGAAUCCGAUAUCGUUGUGAUUGUUUUGCAGGAAAAAGUCGACAUCUGGAAAGUUUUCGCGUUAUUUUGGGACCAAACAAAGAAAACCCAGGUGGGUUUUGUUUUAGGUAUAUGGCUUUGCAGAUUGGGGUAAUGAUGAGGGAAUCUGACUUUUUCCCCCAUCCUCUGAAAUGCAGAAAAGAGAAUUCGCUACGAUUUCUUUUCUUGCAUGGAUGAUCGACAACUUCCGUUUCAAUUUUUUUAAAACCUUCGCAUGGUUAUCCGUUUGGUCGAUUGUUAUCCGUUAAUGAUUUCUGCUGCCUUGGGCGCCAGUCCGCUUGUUGAACGAAACUCAAUCUUAUGUGCCUUCACCCACCAGAUAAUAUUCAAGAUCAUAUCAUGAUAUGUGGUAAUCGAUCGACUUUGGUGAUCUGAUGUUAUAAUAACUAUAUAAGUAUUUUAAGCUUACAGCUUGUAAUGUACAUGGUAUAUGUGGUGUAACAAUGUUCAUUUAUCCAAAACUUUAGUAUUACAGCUUGGAACAUAUUUAGGGUUGGGAUCCUUGGAACAAGACAACAAUAUCUUGGUCCUAUAUUUUAAUUAAAAUAAAAAAAACAGUAACCUAUCAUGAUGUCUAAACACUCUGCAUUGGUCUUGGUUUUAACUGGAGUUUAUAUGAAUAAUUCCAUGCGACUGAGAGUUCACAUUAUAAUUGCUUAUGCACUGCGAUAUUUAUCCAUCAUCACUAGCCGCCGUUUAGUUGAAAGCAUAGUCAUUUGAACCUUAGGAGAAUCUAUAAUUAGAAUUCACUUGUAUAUAAAAGAGGGGAAUGAUAUAUAUAUAUAUAUAUGUAUGUAUGUAUGUAUGUAUGUAUAGCAGGGAAGGGGAUUAGAGCUUUGAACAAAGGGCGAAGCACGCCUUUUGGGAAAUGGAAUGUCUUUUGACAUUUGCAAAAAGCCAUUAACAAACGGAUAAAAAUAUACAGUAAAUGAUACACUGAAAUUAUAAAAAAGUAAAUGUGAAACACUUUUGUAGUAGACUUGCUUUUUUUUCCAUGUACUUUUGAAGACUUUGACUUCGUGUUUUUUUUUUUUGGUUGGUCUACUACGAAUUCAGUGUCUUCCCUGCGACCUACGGCUAGGAUUUGAUGUAUAGUUUUUAUUGAUUAUUCCGUUUCUAAUAAUAUUUAUUUUGUUAUUAAA